rnacentral:rRNA from 1 species
CGGCAGGCCUAACACAUGCAAGUCGGACGGAAACGACAAGAACAAUCACUUCGGUGUGCGUUUUUGGGCGUCGAGUGGCGGACGGGUGAGUAACGCGUGGGAAUCUACCCUUUAGUUGGGGACAACAUAUGGAAACGUAUGCUAAUACCGAAUAUGCUCUACGGAGUAAAGGUGCCCUCUCCUUGGAAGGUAUCGCUAAAGGAUGAGCCCGCGUUAGAUUAGCUAGUUGGUAAGGUAAAGGCUUACCAAGGCGACGAUCUAUAGCUGGUUUGAGAGGAUGAUCAGCCACACUGGGACUGAGACACGGCCCAGACUCCUACGGGAGGCAGCAGUGGGGAAUAUUGCACAAUGAGGGAAACCUUGAUGCAGCCAUGCCGCGUGUGUGAAGAAGGCCCGAGGGUUGUAAAGCACUUUCAAUUGUGAGGAAGAUUAAGUAGCUAAUACCUGCUUAGUUUGACGUUAACUUUAGAAGAAGCACCGGCUAACUCUGUGCCAGCAGCCGCGGUAAUACAGAGGGUGCAAGCGUUAUUCGGAAUUACUGGGCGUAAAGCGCGCGUAGGCGGACUGUUAAGUCGGUUGUGAAAGCCCUGGGCUCAACCUAGGAACUGCAUCCGAUACUGGCAAUCUAGAGUUUAAGAGAGGGAAGUGGAAUUCCAGGUGUAGCAGUGAAAUGCGUAGAUAUCUGGAGGAACAUCAGUGGCGAAGGCGACUUCCUGGCUUAAAACUGACGCUGAGGUGCGAAAGCUUGGGUAGCGAACGGGAUUAGAUACCCCGGUAGUCCAAGCCGUAAACGAUGUCAACUAGCUGUUGGCCUUAUUAAAAAG